CAAAGCUGGUGGGACAAUCUAUGAUGUCCCAGAUUGACAUUGUCAACAAAAUAAACGACAUUGUUGAAGAAAAACAGUUGUACGAUCCAAACAAUCACCUCUAUGCAUUUGGUGAUCAAGACCUUGUCAAUGUUCUUGGCGUCUUGAGAUUCAAAAUCGCAAAUGUUUUCAACUUGCUCAAUAGACAUUUGGAGUAGUUUUUUAUAUCAUUACUGUUAUACUUUGUAGUUGUAACUUCCGGACUCUUCACGAUUGCUGGACUGUACCAAAUGACCGUGUGGGCUCUUGGAAAGCAAGUGCAAGAAAGAAUUUACAAAGUAUCCCCGUGGUCGCAAGUCAAUCAUUCCGUUCAUAAUUUAGAUUAACUCUCCUGCACCAACAGAAAUUUCCAUGAUAUC